rnacentral:tRNA from 1 species
AACGUGUUAGCUUAAUUGGUUAAGCAUUGUGCUUCGGACACAGUAGUUACAAGUUCGAGUCCUGUACACGUUG